rnacentral:rRNA from 1 species
AUUGAACGCUGGCGGCAGGCCUAACACAUGCAAGUCGAACGAGUGGCGGACGGGUGCGUAAUGUCUGGGAAACUGCCCGAUGGAGGGGGAUAACUACUGGAAACGGUAGCUCAUACCGCAUACCAUCGGAUGUGCCCAGAUGGGAUUAGCUAGUAGGUGGGGUAACGGCUCACCUAGGCGAAGAUCCCUAGCUGGUCUGAGAGGGUGACCAGCCAUACUGGAACUGAGACACGUUACAGACUCCUACGGGAGGCAUCAGUGGGGAAUAUUGCACAAUGGUCGAAAGCCUGAUGCAGCCAUGCCGCGUGUAUGAAGAAGGCCUUCGGGUUGUAAAGUACUUUCAGCGGAGAGGCGUUACCCGCAGAAGAAGCACCGGCUAACUCCGUGCCAGCAGCCGCGGUAAUAC